rnacentral:rRNA from 1 species
AUUGAACACUGGUGGCAUGCCUUACACAUGCAAGUCGAACGGUAACAGGUCUUCGGAUGCUGACGAGUGGCGAACGGGUGAGUAAUACAUCGGAACGUGCCUAGUAGUGGGGGGUAACUACUCGAAAGAGUGGCUAAUACCGCAUGAGAUCUACGGAUGAAAGCAGGGGAUCGCAAGACCUUGUGCUACUAGAGCGGCCGAUGGCAGAUUAGGUAGUUGGUGGGAUAAAAGCUUACCAAGCCGACGAUCUGUAGCUGGUCUGAGAGGACGAUCAGCCACACUGGGACUGAGACACGGCCCAGACUCCUACGGGAGGCAGCAGUGGGGAAUUUUGGACAAUGGGCGAAAGCCUGAUCCAGCAAUGCCGCGUGCAGGAUGAAGGCCUUCGGGUUGUAAACUGCUUUUGUACGGAACGAAAAGCCCCGGGUUAAUACCCUGGGGUCAUGACGGUACCGUAAGAAUAAGCACCGGCUAACUACGUGCCAGCCGCCGCGGUAA